rnacentral:lncRNA from 1 species
CUGAUUGACAGUGUUGGGCGUGAUAACAGAACAGCCACUGGUCACAGCGUUUGCCAUCAAAAGCGUUUUAAGGAAAUACUGGAGUUGGUGUCUCCAUGUGCUAAAUGUCUUGCUGCAGUUGGCAGGAUUACAUAUCUUCAGGUGGUAAACAAUUCAGAUCAAGAUUACAGUCACCUUCCAGAAUUAGAUCUCAGUGUCAUGCUCAAUCAGGGUACUCUUCACCAAUCACAAGACCAACUCCUCAUCAAUCAUACAAGCCCUGUAAGGAGUCCGUCUGACUGUGGUGUCAGGUAUCAUCGAUGUUUAUGGUCGCGAGGACUGAGGACUAUGGUAGAGACUUCCACCGAUCUUGAAGGCACUCUGGACCAAGUGUCAGGAAUAUUCUCUUUGUGGGUUGAUAGGGCGAAAUGGACCGUUCAAGGUAUCCCUACUCGUCCAAGGGGGAACAACUAUAGGAAAGGAUCCUACAGUGCUGUCGAGGAUCCAAUUGUUGCUGCUGGGAACACUGCUGUGUUCGAGAUUGGUGAAAAAGUGACGUGGGUCACGGAGCAGCCGCUGAUGGAUAUAUUGGCAACAUGGCAUCUCCUGUGCAACGUGAAGUACUGA